GGAUGAUAAUAUCCCUGGAAAACACGCCAAACUUAAGGGGGUGGUAGGUGCUACUCCAAAAGCCACCAAAAGUAACAAAGUUUCCCGUGGGCGAGGUCGCUUAGGUGCGGUCAAAACUAGACGCGUUGUUGAUCCAGGCGCCAAUUUUGAAGCAAUGCUUGCCGGUCCGUCAGACUUCAUGGCAGUGGCAAAAGUUCAUAAUGCUCCCGGCUCUUCGGGACCUCCUGGGCCACCGCAGAGCACACCAGCCCAGACCAUUGCCGUAUCCAAUCAAACCAAGAAAAGAAAUAUUGCCAAUGAGAAAGCCAAUAUUAAGGAAGGGACUUCACAUAAAAGAA
rnacentral:sRNA from 1 species